CAGCCGCCGCGGUAAUACCGGCGGCCCGAGUGGCGGUCACUAUUAUUGGGCUUAAAGCGUCCGUAGCCGGGUUGGGAAGUCCUCCGGGAAAUCUGGCCGCUUAACGGUCAGAAUGCCGGAGGAUACUCCCAGCCUAGGGAGCGGGAGAGGCCGAGGGGAUUCCCGGGGUAGGGGUGAAAUCCUAUAAUCCCGGGAGGACCACCUGUGGCGAAGGCGCUCGGCUGGAACGCGUCCGACGGUGAGGGACGAAGGCCAGGGGAGCAAACCGGAUUAGAUACCCGGGUAGUCCUGGCUGUAAACGAUGCGGACUUUGUGUCGGACAAGCUAUGAGCUUGUCCGGUGCCGGAGGGAAACCGUUAAGUCCGCCGCCUGGGGAGUACGGCCGCAAGGCUGAAACUUAAAGAAUUGGCGGG
rnacentral:rRNA from 1 species